rnacentral:rRNA from 1 species
AAUGAACGUUGGCGGCGUGGAUUAGGCAUGCAAGUCGAGCGAGAACCCGCAAGGGGGACAGCGGCGAACGGGGUAGGACAACGUAGGUAACGUACCCUCGGGGCGAGGACAGCCACGGGAAACUGUGGGUAAUACUCGAUAAACUUCCCAAUCAUUAUGGAAGGGGAAGCAAUGGGUGUGAUUCCACCUGAGGAGCGGCUUACGCAGUAUCAGCUAGUUGGUGAGGUAACGGCUCACCAAGGCUACGACGCUUAGGGGGUGUGAGAGCAUGGCCCCCACACUGGCACUGAGACACUGGCCAGACACCUACGGGUGGCUGCAGUCGAGAAUCUUCGGCAAUGGACGCAAGUCUGACCGAGCGACGCCGCGUGCGGGAUGAAGGCCUUCGGGUUGUAAACCGCUGUCAGAGGGGAUGAAGUAUACGGGAGUUAUCUCCUGUAUUUGACAGAGCCUCAGAGGAAGCACGGGCGUAAGUUCGUGCCAGCAGCCGCGGUAAU